rnacentral:rRNA from 1 species
ACGGGUGGCUGCAGUCGGGAAUAUUGCGCAAUGGAGGAAACUCUGACGCAGUGACGCCGCGUAUAGGAAGAAGGUUUUCGGAUUGUAAACUAUUGUCGUGAGGGAAGAAAUUGACAGUACCUCAGGAGGAAGCUCCGGCUAACUAUGUGCCAGCAGCCGCGGUAAUACAUAGGGAGCAAGCGUUAUCCGGAUUUAUUGGGUGUAAAUGGUGCGUAGACGGGAAAUUAAGUUAGUUGUGAAAUCCCUUGGCUUAACUGAGGAACUGCAACUAAAACUGGUUUUCUUGAGUACUGGAGAGGAAAGUGGAAUUCCUAGUGUAGCGGUGAAAUGCGUAGAUAUUAGGAGGAACACCAGUGGCGAAGGCGGCUUUCUGGACUGUAACUGACGCUGAGGCACGAAAGUGUGGGGAGCAAACAGGAUUAGAUACCCUUGUAGUC